rnacentral:lncRNA from 1 species
ACGGAGGCAGGAUCGAUCAGUUUCGCUUAAGAUCGCAUUUGGGUCAGUUAAUGGUAACUGGCUACCAAAGCAGCGUACAUACAUCGAGAGAAGUUGAAGCUGUGGGCGCCACGGCCGCGAUUAUGUACUUAUAGCUGAUCCGUCAGCCUUACACGACAACCUCCCACAAAAAUAUAUACAAAUUGCUGUUCGGCAGGGUACGGAAACCUCCGAGGAUUGGUCACCGCGCCUCGCCUCGCCUCCUUUUUAUCGAUCUUCCCACGUGCCAGCCGGUACCCUGUAAAAGUGAAGCUAAACCUCCGUACCGGGUGUCCGACGAAGGAUCGAGUCACCUGGACGGUUCCACCCCCGCACAAGGACUCCUGAAUUACGCACUACUUCGCCUGGCAGUCUAUGCCACCCGAAGAAACCAUCAUAAUUGCAUCCGAGGUGCAGCGCGUUGUUUAUAAAAUAGACCGGAAGUGGAGGAAGAACCGCUGCUGUAUUCGGAAUCCCCAGAAUCACAAAAGUCUGAUUGAAUGCACCUAUACCUAUAGUUUCACCUCGUUAUUUCUUACCUCGUUAACGAAGGGAUUCCAAUUCUUUGGAAAACGAAGCGUGAUAUUUCUUCCAGAAAAUAUUCGACGUUUCUCCUAAUUAUCAAUUGUAAUAUUGUCGAGUUUCCCGACGUAUCUCAUGCAUAAAAGCACCAAGAACGAAUAUAUUACCUAUUUCAACUCUGAAUUUCUCCAUUUGCCCUGCCCGCGCAAGGUGACUCACCCUCGUUUGCAUACCUGUUUUUGGCUAUCGUGAAACUUUAUUUGGUUAUCGUAAUUCGGAAGACCGCGAAUCACGCGACCCGCAGAAUACAUAUACCUAUCGAUACAGUGUAGUAAAACUUCAUUCCGCAUUCACGGAUCCCGCUGUUGAUUCUCCACAAUCUAACAAUUAAUAUUGUUUACGGGCAUACGUGCGAAUCCGUAGGCGGUUGUGGGUUGAAUUAUACGUAGAGGAAGACCCAAGUUUUUCAGAAUCAAGUUAUAUACAGCGACAGAAGCGGUUCACCAUCCCGUGAAAAUACUGAGGUCUACUGACCCGACCGCAUUUCCCUUUUGUAACAUCCUCGAUCUUCUUAUUUUUUUUUUUUAAUAUUUUUCGCUUUCCCCAAUUCAAAGUGUGUUUGUCGUACCGGUUCAUCAUUCAUUCCAGCGACAGGGGCGGCGGACGCAGGCCAUUUAUUUUCGUUAGUCGAUAUUAUUUCAAUAGGGCAAAGUUGACGGUCCAAGUGACACGUGCGGGAAGUAUAUAUAUAAAUACAAAUAUUUCAUUUCAUCCACUACACCCAUUCAACUCUGCGGCGGGUGGACAUAAAUUAUUCGGGUGUAUUAUACACGUUAUGCCCGUGUCUCUCUGUAUCUACGUGUAUGGUCGAAAUUUCAACUAUUCCUUUCGAUAUUUUGUUACCGUUCAUUCAAUAACAAGAUCAACUCUUGACCGUGACCGACGCGUGCGUCUGUAAUUGUCGUCAGUAAUCAACAGCUCUCAAUGCAAGAUCGUUUAUUACAGUCCAUCGAAUUAUUAUCACCGUAGUCGUCAUUUUGCUCGCACAUAAUACGGACAGUCCGCAACUAUGAAUUUUUCAUUCACUCUAAUUCCCCUCAUUGAACAGUGAACACCGUACAGCGUAUAAUUUUUGCUUUUUUUUUUUUAUCUUUCCUUCGCACGAAUUUAAAUUAUCACAUACGCGAAGUCAUGAAUAAACCUGACUAAUCUUGUAAAAGACUUUCAUCCUUAUACGAUCGAGACAUCUGAAAUCGCGUUGGAAGUAAAUGUGAAUGGGAUAAAACAAUCUAUCCAGGCAUGUGUAAAAAUGACAAAAAAAAAAAGAAAAUUAAAAGUGAAUUAUAUAAGUAAAAAAUUAAAUUGGAAAAUUGCGGGAAUGAGAAUGCAGACGAUGAUUACGCGUCUGUAUGAAACUGGCGUAAGCUUCCAUAAAUGGUCUCGUCUCUCGUGCGUCUCGUGGCCUCUCUUUUUAUCUUCUACUCUUUCUCUUUCUCCCUUUCUAUCUCUUGAAAACCGCGCUCGGACGACCGCUCCGCUGAAUGAGGAGAGCACGCGUGAGGACACGCGAGGCAGACAGGCAACGUUCACGUAGGCAUGUUGUGAAUACGUGCAUGGAACGUAAUGCAGGCGGAUUGACGAGGUAGGCAUGGCCCCGCUUCAGUCUCCAUUGGGGGGCUGACGUCAUCUCCGCAAAUGUUCACCACCGCACGACAAAACAACAAUUGCACCAAGCGACGUUCUACUCGACCGCGGUACGCUGGGGGACAAACCGAGUAACGGCGAGGUUCGUGUUACGUCACCUUUUAUUCAAUACUCGAUCAUUUUGAUUUCGUUUAUCUUCAUUUUUCCUGAAGCCGAAGGCCGGGGAUUUCAUCUGCCUAAUACAGUAAAAUGCACCCCCUGUAGCUUCGAGAUUUCAGCCCAGGAAGGAAAAACUGGUAAUCAGCCGUUCGAUCGCUCAUUAAUAUCUUUUUCAUCGGGAUCAAUCGAGGGCAAUCGAUCGAUCAAUCGGAAAGAUAAGGGUGAGUUUUAACGCGACAUUUAUAAGGGUGGGAAGCAGAAGAAUCCAAAGAAGUGACGAUGCUGUAGCGAAGGCGAUUCGCCUUUCCGAUUUCCAGCCCUCGAUGUUCUACUAAUAACCGCAAUAUUUUUCACGGAUUUACCAGUCCUCCGUGCAAUUUAUGAUUUCCGCAGAUAGACGUCCGAUUUUGCAUUAUAUUUUAUACACCUAUAAUGCGUUUCGCCAACGACCACGCGACGUGGGACGAAGCGAUUUACGUGUCUCGGUUGGUUCUGUUGGCGCCACGUUUCCAUCCGCUGCAGCGGAUCUUUGGCUUGGAUUCUGCGGAGCUCCGGGCCCAAGCAUCUCCACCGGCUCGAGCGACGUCGAGCAAAGCUCCUGCAGCUCUCUCCGGACUGGAUAUAUAGUCGCUGGCUCACCUGAGAAACACCGCCUCUGCCGCAGACCUUAUUUGGCUCCUGCUUCCCCCGACACGUACACACGCCCUUCUCCGCGAGUCGCGGUACUUUUUCCUUUUUCCUCUUUCCUUUUUCUGCGCACACAACAUUCGUACGCACAGGUAUAGGGAUAUACCUGUCACUUGUGUAAUACGAGAAAAGCUGAAAGAAUUCGCACCGUGAAGUGAGCAUCGGAUAAGAUCAAGGAGGUCAGAGUGAGGUCAAAUUUGCUCGAAAGUCUGCGAGACAUCCUGUGCGAAAAUAAAAGUUUGCCGUAUCGAUAGGAUCGAUGGAAAGUCCGCAACGGAAUCUUAUAGUUACUCACCUGCAUCAAGAAAAUCGUUCAUUUAUCAAUUUAAAAAUCAGUCGGUUUAAUUUCACUUCGUUCCCCUUGAUUCUGACGUACUUUCAUUAUGAUUAAUGAGGGGUACGAGUCUCAAGAGUUGUACUGUAAACUCGAGUGGAGGAAAAGCAGCAGCAGCAGCAGCUCUUCUGACGAUGACGGGGUUCGGUUGUUUCAGACUGUGCGCAGACAUCUGGCAAAGAAGUUGAUAUUCACAUUUCAUAUAAACGCAACUAAUUGGACGUCGGUCCGCGUGUCUGCCGCAUUCCAAAAGCCACGCUCAAAAGACCCGUAAUGAUUCCACCCGCGCCUUCUCAGCUGCAGGGAGAUUUGAAAUUUUAAAGUUGAGAGUUGAAACCCAAAAGGCAUCGGCGCGGCUCUACGUUGACAUACUACGAUGUCUGAUGCAAGUCGUUGACUCGAUUGAUCGAUGCUGCACCCUCGUCUGCACCGAACACGCGGUUGUAAAAAUUCUUGGGGGAGAAAGGGGUGCGUUAGCGCUGGCUGUCGACCUGCAUAACCGAUAUAGAAUAUCAGCUGCUGAUGAGGAUAUUUCAUCCAUACCACCUCCGAAUAUUUUCAUUACAGAUAAAACCCUUCCUUUGAAGCAUUUCAUUUCCGUAAUCUCCUAUUAAUUUCUGGUGUGAGUGGGACUUGCGGUUCGAAAAAAAGAGCCCUAAAUAUUUCCAGAGUCUCGAUAUACGUGCUAUACGUACGCGGCUGGAAAUAAUCAGGGCUGGUGGUGCAAUCAGGGAAAUGAGCUCUGAUGAGCAGGGCGUGGUAUACAUAUAUGUAUAAAGCCUUACUCGCGCAUCAACUCACACCCACGUAUCCGAUGCGCGAAGACGUAAUUAAUUCCAUCGCAUCGCUGCAGGGCUGCGCUUCGAAUCCCUUCAUCGUCCAUCUCUUCUAUGUUUGCAUACGUGAUUGGUACACCUGUGUGCUAGGUCAUCAGAGGUCGUCUAUCGUACCAUCGCAUCAUCUGCAGCAGGAGAGGAGCUCCGCGACUGAAAUGGUUGAAUUCAGAGGGAUGAAUUCCGAGUAAAUACAAAGAAGAAAGCAGAGUAAAUUGUUUUUAUCUGCGCACAAAGUUUCGCCGAUAAAUUAUUCCGCUCGAUUCGCGAAUCUGAUCCCCUUCGUAGCUGUUUUUAUAGGGAAAGUAAUUACAUAGCUUGUGCAGCAGCGAUAACUUUCUUUCUGCUGCACAAACGGCUUUAUCUGUAAUUGUAUUUGUAUAGUUUUCACAGUAAUUAGAGGGGGCGAUUCGAUCUGCACUCGUCUAGUCUACCGUCGGGCUAUGGUGCAAUAGUUCCCAUCCUUGGACUCCUCGGCGUAUUAUUGGAAAACGGGAGAACGAAGCUGAGGUGACUCACGCCGCGGCGACUCGCAAUCGAUAUCAACGUCCCGUUACACCGCGUACCUUAUACCAAAACCAGCUGCCUCCCUGCGUAUAUAGCUUUACUUCCUUUCACUGGUUUUUCAACCCUAAAAAGACUCAGGGGUUGACUCACUUUACGCGAUGUCGUCACCCGCCCUCAAACGUCCUUCUAGAUGUCCUCGACGACGCGAUGACGACGAUGAAAAUAAUUACACGACGAUUUGUUCCAUGAUAGAGAAAUGUUUCAUUUUUUCGAGCGAAUUGUUACGACAAAGAAAAGAUUGAAGCAUGAUUGAGGGAUCUAUGCUGACGCUCCACCCUGUGGACGAGUUUGUCGCUCCACAUUUGAAUAUAAUAGCUGUAAUUAUACCGAUGGUUAAUGUAGAUUGACCCCCAGGCGCGGUGACCCAUGAAAAGUGAACAUUUAAAGAGUUUUAUAUAAUUAGUAAACAUGCGUGACGUAACAACAGAUAUACAAACUCCUCAUUACCAUUAGCGAGAGAGGCAUAUUAUGAUUCUAAUUUUUGCCCAAAUUAAAUUGUCUCCAUGUGCACGGAUCAUAAUAAUAAUAAUAAAAAAAACACGAUCCCGUGAUAAGGAACUGACAAAUUUAGAAAAAAUAUCGUGACAUUUCUGGCACAUCUUAGAAAAAAAAAAAAACAAUAAACAUGUGUGCAUAAAAAAUUUUCACCAUUUCAAACCGAUAAUCACUUGGAAUAUAUCGAAUGGCGACUCGCGGUCGUCCUCGAUCUACAAAAUAAUCAAAAUAGUGAUAAUAAAUAAAAUGUAAAUUCUGAUAAUUACACGUCAUUUCGUAACUAGAUAUUCGUUGUAACCAGUUAACAGGCAACGGCUCACCUGUAAUUAAACCUGCUUUAUUCGUCACGAUUUUUUUUUUCCAGAGGGAUUAAUAUUUGAGGCAACGAUAGAUGCAGUGGGCGGGUUUUAAUUCGGAUCAGGGUUUGACGUGACUUGUGGUAGCCCUGUGACCCGAAUUCACCUAAACGGAUCGACGCUAUACAUAUAUGGUAAAAGGAAAUGAAUUACGCACCCGCGUCAGAAUAAUUUCGAUAGAGAAAAUUUGUAAGUAUACCGUAGUACAAACGCAGAGGAGGAUUACGGCCAGCGAGAGUGUGGGACCCGAUCGGUUCAUCAUACCGGUCACUCGUCGUCUUAUCUUCGCUUCUCUUUUUCUCAUUUUAUACCUCCAUAUUCGCAAUACCGGUUGAUCGCUGCAGCAAUAUCGUACCGUCUCAGAGUCAGAAUCGGAAUAUUGACUUUGUGCUCUACUUUCUCCGAAGAUACCGAGAAAUCCAAAGAAGGAUGGAAUCGGAUCUUCUUGUAAAAAUUA